rnacentral:tRNA from 1 species
AUCUUCGUGAUGUAGUGGUCAGCAUGUUCGACACGUAAUCAAGAGGUCUGCGGUUCGAGUCCCGGUGAGGGUU